UACAGAGGUCUCAAGCGUUGUUCGGAUUCAUUGGGCGUAAAGGGUGCGUAGGUGGCGCCGUAAGUCAGGUGUGAAAUUUCGGAGCUUAACUCCGAAACUUUAUUUGAUACUGCGGUGCUUGAGGACUGGAGAGGAGACUGGAAUUUACGGUGUAGCAGUGAAAUGCGUAGAGAUCGUAAGGAAGACCAGUGGCGAAGGCGGGUCUCUGGACAGUUCCUGACACUGAGGCACGAAGGCCAGGGGAGCAAACGGG
rnacentral:rRNA from 1 species